rnacentral:rRNA from 1 species
AGCGAACGCUGGCGGCAGGCUUAACACAUGCAAGUCGAACGCCCCGCAAGGGGAGUGGCAGACGGGUGAGUAACACGUGGGAACGUACCCUUUGGUUCGGAAUAACUUGGGGAAACUCAAGCUAAUACCGGAUAAGCCCUUAUGGGGAAAGGCUUACUGCCGAAGGAUCGGCCCGCGUCUGAUUAGCUAGUUGGUGAGGUAAUGGCUCACCAAGGCGACGAUCAGUAGCUGGUCUGAGAGGAUGAUCAGCCACACUGGGACUGAGACACGGCCCAGACUCCUACGGGAGGCAGCAGUGGGGAAUAUUGGACAAUGGGGGCAACCCUGAUCCAGCCAUGCCGCGUGAGUGAUGAAGGCCUUAGGGUUGUAAAGCUCUUUUACCCGGGACGAUAAUGACUGUACCUGCAGAAUAAGAGGUUGCUAACUCUGUGCCAGCCGCCGCAGUAA